UGGUCUAGCGGUCAGAACGCUGGCCUUGUAAUCCGGGGGUCUCGGGUUCGAUUCCCGG
rfam:Zootermopsis nevadensis contig12965, whole genome shotgun sequence.